UCUGAAGCCUGCAGCGUUUUUUGUUGGUGCUGCCUGGAAUUUGGCUCUGCGAUGCGUGAGCAGCUGCUCAGGCUGGGAUGAGAUUUCCUCCCCUUCGUGGACCCAACCGUUUAUUCACCGUGUGUGUGGGUCCUUUGCGUGCCGGUUGACGCUGGACUUCUCCAAGGAGAUGCCCACCCCCACACAAGCUGAGGACCCCUCUGCAAUGUGCAUAUCUGAAGAUCUGCCGUCAUUCCUAAGGACCCCUGGGAAUCAUCCUGCCUCACCCUACAUUGGAGAAACUGAGGCCAAAGACAGGAAGAAACCUGCCUGAGUCUGUCACCUUUGUGGGUUAGUGUGUACCACAAGCAAUCUCCAGUCCUUUGGUCGGGGUGAGAAGAGCUGUCCAGGGCUGGGGACGCUACCUGCUUCUGGGGCCUUCCAGAAACAGAGGAAGAUGAUGCGCAGUGUGGGGAGGGAGGCUUGAGGGCCAGGGAUGAAGAGAUGCCCAUCUGCACGCAGUACACAUUGAUUUUAUGAGGUACAGAUUUUUCUCCCCAUUUGGAUAAAAGAUAGACCUUGAAGUGGCCAUCUUAUUAGCUGUUUUGGGUACUUAGAGGUGACAGGCUGCACGUCUCCAGGGCUUCAGAAGUAACCACUUAUGUCUCCUGUGGAAUACUGUCUUCCUACUUUUAAUCCUGUGACUGCUUCCCUGAUCAUUUUGAAUGGCCUGACUGGACACAGGCUCUGCUAGAUAGAUGACCUUAGGGGGACUGACUCUGAUGAAGUAGAGCCACCCUAAAAGCUGUCCUGUGGUCCUGUCAUUGAAUGUCCCCCUACAAGGCUCCACAGGCAGCCUUCCUAGACCACCGACUACUGGGCAAGCCUUUGAAAAUUCUUCCUAUGGCCGGGCAGUGGUGGCGCACGCCUGUAAUCCCAGCACUUGGGAGGCAGAGGCAGGCGGAUUUCUGAGUUCGAGGCCAGCCUGGUCUGCAGAGUGAGUUCCAGGACAGCCAGAGCUAUGCAGAGAAACCCUGUGUCAAAAAACCAAAAA